CAACAAAAGAGGGAGAGAGAGAAUCAAGACUCUGAUAAACAUAGUACUAUUUUUAAAAGAAAUCCAAUAACAAUAAAGAUUGUUCUAUUCUCUGCCUUCCCAUUUAGAUAGGGUUUAAACCAGCAGGAGGCAUCCGCAGUGCAAAGGAUUCCCUUGCUUGGCUCUCUCUUGUAAAGGAGGAGCUUGGAGAUGAGUGGCUGAAGCCAGAACUCUUUCGAAUAGGUGCCAGUACUCUGCUCUCGGACAUUGAGAGGCAGAUUUACCAUCAUGUGACUGGAAGAUAUGCAGCUUAUCAUGAUCUUCCAAUGUCUUAAAUCAGUCACCAGUUCCAGAAAAGUUCUUUACGACAAUGUUUAAAAAUUAUUUUUCUACGUAAUUGCUAAAAUUAUUUAAUUAAAAAAUUGGGCAGUAGGUAACUGGCAUUCCUCUCUUUAAAAUUUCUACCGAACUUAAUGGAAUGGAAAAAGCAAACUCAUCCACAUGUGGUACUCAUUUCAGGCACAUCUGAAAUGAUCUUAAUUACUAGAAGAUCUGCACUAUUAACUUUGUGAAGAGUUUCUCCUAAAAACUUUAAGUAAAAUGUUA
rnacentral:lncRNA from 1 species